GGCCCAGAUCGAGUGCUCCAGCAUCUCCGACUACGCCGUCAAGAUCGUCAAGGCCAACAAACUGGACCAUGUGGUUUCCAUCAUCAAGGGCAAGGUGGAGGAGGUGGAGCUGCCGGUGGAGAAGGUCGACAUCAUCAUCAGCGAGUGGAUGGGAUAUUGUCUGUUCUACGAGUCCAUGCUCAACACCGUCAUCUACGCCCGCGAUAAAUGGCUGACCCCGGACGGGCUGAUCUUCCCCGACCGCGCCACGCUCUACGUGACGGCCAUCGAGGACCGGCAGUACAAGGACUACAAAAUCCACUGUGAGUGC